rnacentral:rRNA from 1 species
CUGCUCUGAUUCAGCGGCGGACGGGUGAGUAAUGCCUAGGAAUCUGCCUGGUAGUGGGGGACAACGUUUCGAAAGGAACGCUAAUACCGCAUACGUCCUACGGGAGAAAGCAGGGGACCUUCGGGCCUUGCGCUAUCAGAUGAGCCUAGGUCGGAUUAGCUAGUUGGUGAGGUAAUGGCUCACCAAGGCGACGAUCCGUAACUGGUCUGAGAGGAUGAUCAGUCACACUGGAACUGAGACACGGUCCAGACUCCUACGGGAGGCAGCAGUGGGGAAUAUUGGACAAUGGGCGAAAGCCUGAUCCAGCCAUGCCGCGUGUGUGAAGAAGGUCUUCGGAUUGUAAAGCACUUUAAGUUGGGAGGAAGGGCAUUAACCUAAUACGUUAGUGUUUUGACGUUACCGACAGAAUAAGCACCGGCUAACUCUGUGCCAGCAGCCGCGGUAAUACAGAGGGUGCAAGCGUUAAUCGGAAUUACUGGGCGUAAAGCGCGCGUAGGUGGUUUGUUAAGUUGGAUGUGAAAUCCCCGGGCUCAACCUGGGAACUGCAUUCAAAACUGAC